rnacentral:rRNA from 1 species
GAUGAACGCUAGCUACAGGCUUAACACAUGCAAGUCGAGGGGAAACGAUAUUGGAAGCUUGCUUCCGAUAGGCGUCGACCGGCGCACGGGUGAGUAACGCGUAUCCAACCUGCCCACCACUUGGGGAUAACCUUGCGAAAGUAAGGCUAAUACCCAAUGAUAUCUCUAGAAGACAUCUGAAGGAGAUUAAAGAUUCAUCGGUGAUGGAUGGGGAUGCGUCUGAUUAGCUUGUUGGCGGGGUAAAGGCCCACCAAGGCGACGAUCAGUAGGGGUUCUGAGAGGAAGGUCCCCCACAUUGGAACUGAGACACGGUCCAAACUCCUACGGGAGGCAGCAGUGAGGAAUAUUGGUCAAUGGGCGAGAGCCUGAACCAGCCAAGUAGCGUGCAGGAUGACGGCCCUAUGGGUUGUAAACUGCUUUUAUAAGGGAAUAAAGUGAGUCUCGUGAGACUUUUUGCAUGUACCUUAUGAAUAAGGACCGGCUAAUUCCGUGCCAGCAGCCGCCGUAA